rnacentral:rRNA from 1 species
CGCCUUCAGAGGGGGACAACAGUUGGAAACGACUGCUAAUACCGCAUACGAUCUGACCUCGGCAUCGAGGAUGGAUGAAAGGUGGCCUCUAUUUAUAAGCUAUCACUGAAGGAGGGGAUUGCGUCUGAUUAGCUAGUUGGAGGGGUAACGGCCCACCAAGGCGAUGAUCAGUAGCCGGUCUGAGAGGAUGAACGGCCACAUUGGGACUGAGACACGGCCCAG